AGUGAUGUUUGAGCCCCAGCAUAGAUCAGCAUGCCAGGAAGCAGCCCACCGGACCCACCCCUGAUCAUGGCACUGGACAUUGUUUUCCGUGCUUUUCUCAGGCUGGUUUCUGCCUGUCCCAACCCUGGCCAUGGCUGACAAGGGGCCCAGGGACACUGGAGCAGAGAGACCUGCUGGUCCUUGGGGUUUCUUGCAAGGGCUGCUACAAAGAUUGCAUGAGAUUUUGCUCAACAAAUAUUAGCUGUUGGCUCCAGAGUUUAAUACCUCUGAUCACUACAAGCUUUGAAGGCAAGAUAAAAUAACUUCAACAUAGUGAAUCAUCUGUGAACACUUCCUGUGAACGUGUGACUAUGAUUAUGGAACACUCUGUUGCAUCAAGAUGGCCAGAGAUUGUCUCAGAGUCCAGGCAGUGGGAGGAGGGGGGAUUUGUUUCCUGGCUGGGUGGUCGUAGGGCAUCAAGGGAUGAGCAGCUUUGGUUGUCUGGGAUUUCAGCAGCUUGAGGGGAGCUGUAGGGCCCCAGAGCUGUCGCUGUGGCUGUGGUGUCAGAAAUGUAAGCAAGGUGCCUCCAUGGAGGUUAGCGAGGGUGCCCCUCUGAAUGCCGGGUGGAAUGCAACCUUUCGCAUGGAGGAGGCCCUCAGCAGCUGACCUCUGUCUUCCCUGUGUAGAGGGAGGGAGGCUGAGGCUGGGGCUGAGCGAGGGGUAAAGUAAGCCACGUGUCUCAUCAGCUAGCCUGCAGCAAGCACAGCCCUCUGGGAGGGCUGGUUCUAUCCUCCUCCUUGGUGUGAAAUCCAUCAAUCUAAUAGGGAUCCUUAUUUUCCCAGCCACCAAGUCACAAUGAGCAAUAAUCUCUUCUUGUUGGUGCAUAUAAAUUUGCUUCAUUCUUUUUUAAA
rnacentral:lncRNA from 1 species